rnacentral:rRNA from 1 species
UAGGGAAUCUUCGGCAAUGGGGGGAACCCUGACCGAGCAACGCCGCGUGAGUGAAGAAGGUUUUCGGAUCGUAAAGCUCUGUUGUUAAGGAAGAACGAGUGUGAGAAUGGAAAGUUCAUACUGUGACGGUACUUAACCAGAAAGGGACGGCUAACUACGUGCCAGCAGCCGCGGUAAUACGUAGGUCCCGAGCGUUGUCCGGAUUUAUUGGGCGUAAAGCGAGCGCAGGCGGUUAAUUAAGUCGGAUGUGAAAGCCCCCGGCUCAACCGGGGAGGGUCAUUGGAAACUGGUUGGCUUGAGUGCAGAAGAGGAGAGUGGAAUUCCAUGUGUAGCGGUGAAAUGCGUAGAUAUAUGGAGGAACACCAGUGGCGCAGGCGACUCUCUGGUCUGUAACUGACGCUGAGGUUCGAAAGCGUGGGUAGCAAACAGG